UCCAGUUUCCUCUUGAAAGAAACACCUUUGAGACAAAUGUGACCUGGAUGACUGAGAAUCUCCAUAGACAAGGUUGGCCUUCAAAUAACCUUUUGGCCUCAUAUCUUCAGAUUUAAGAUUAAAUCUAAGAUUUAAGUCAAUUAGCAAGUCACCUUGAGUAAGAGAUUUAGGAUCUGAGGACUGACUUUCUGCUCCAGAUGAGGAAUUGGUUAUUCCAUUCCCCUUCUUGGCAACCAGAAGUUGAAAUAAUUUCCCUUUAGUUGACAGGAUUUGCCUCAGCAAAGCCCAGUUUAUUGACAGUUGUUGGUUCUCAGAGUCUUCCGUUGAGGUUGGUCUAUUCUAAACUGGAAACUGUCCUGUACAAUUGAAAUUUAGAUUCAUGUCUGUGUGAAAUCUAAAUUUCUUGAAUACAUCCAGUCCUUUCCCUACCCAUCAUCACUACCGAUACCCACACAGCCCCCAUCUCCAUCAGAUAAACCUGUUUUCAUUCUGAGUGACUCAGAAUCACCUACCAGCUCCAUCGAUUGCCAGUUUCCCCAAAUCAAUCCAUGUUUGAAUGCUAUGAUCUUGUCUUAAAUCUCACUUCCUAACCCAGCCUGGCAACUCUAUGACAUGUGGACUUCAACUCUCAGAAUUCCCCAGCCAGCUUGGCUGACUGGGGUAUUCUGGGAGUUGAAGUCCACAUGUCUUAAAGUCGCCAGGCCUGAGAAAUUCACUGCCCUAGCAUCUCUCUCUCUCCCCUUCCAAAAUCCUGAUUUCCCUUCCUGCCCCAAAUAUAAGUAUAUAAAAACAUGCAGACAGAAUACUUGCAUUUCAACAUCAAAAUACAACAGCCCUGGGUCCCACCCUGCCAGGCAUCCCCUUCUGUCCCCUAGAGAUUAACAGAUCCCCAGGGCUGAGGAGAAGAUUCCUUCUACCAAAACUGCCCUUCCAGCUGCAUCAUGCACCCAUCGAGAAAGGGGCCGUUUUGGUUUUACUUUGUUUUAAUUGUGCAAGAUGGUUGGCACAAGGCCAGAGGCUCAUCAUAUAUCGUGCAGAUGGGAUUAGCAGUGGAAGGAGUUUCAGACCCCUUAAAUAAUGCCCCAUGCUCUCUUCCAAGUAUAAAUUGUAAAGGAGGCUGCCAUGAGGCUGCCGGUGCCCCCACCCCACCCCACCCCCCACCCCACACCCCCUUUGUGUAACAGUCUGCAGGAAAACCAAAGUCAAAAAGAAAUAAAAGUCACAUUGUGCUGGGUGUAAAUUUAGUGUCUGCUACACACACAACCUCUUUGCUGGUGUCUUUCCCUCUCCUUGUUCUCCCCCCUGCCUCCCCAUACCACCCCCCCACCAAGUGGAUUCUGUCCAAUCACAUACUGUGGUUGUCUAUUUUAAGUCUUUCUUUCAUAUGCAUGGAGCAUAUAGCCGCUCAAAGAAUACAUUUUUCAGCAAAGCCACGUCAUUCAACCCUUCUCUCCCUGUGCUGCCGCGUCACAUCUGGUGAGUCCGCUGGGCAGAUGGGCUUCCCUCCCUGGCUUGGUGUGAUCUUCUCUCCUUCCAAAGAGGGCUCUUUAUCAUCCCAGCUUCCUUUCCUUCUCCCAGGAUAUUAUUCCUCCCCCCCUCCCCCAAUCAUGGUUUUUAAAUCUCGUGCAAACUUCCAUCUGUCCUGGGUUUUUUCCUCCCUCCUCCCCUUAGAGAAUGCCUUGUUUCUUUGCUUUUUAGUAGCUAGAUGAUAUCAUCACAUUCCUUCUGGACUCUUACACCGUAGAUAAUGUAGACUAGGAUCUGUACACUCCCAAAUACGGGGGGUGCCCUGUUUUGUCUUUAAUAGCACAAUUCUUACUGCAGAUUAGAAUUAUAAGAUUCCUUUGUCCAACAGAGAAUUAAUAAUGUAAUAUAUACAGGGUGGAAACAUAUAUUCCUCUCUAUUACAUUGUCAUUCCUGCAGAUACUUGUACACGCUCAUGCUUCACUGCAUGGUUCUCACACACCUUCCUGAUUUUGUUCUAUACCGAGGGUUUUCGCUCUUUGUAAUGAGGAUGGAGAUAUUCGGUACAGUUGCUCCCCUGUUGUGUGUGAGUCUGCCUUUCAAAGCAACUGAGCAAAGAAAUUCACAAUCUCUUAUCUGAUCCAAAGGAGAGGAUUGAACAGGAAGACAUGUUGAACUUCAAUUUCCUCAAAGGGACUCCUCCAGUUGAUUGGCGGGAUGGUAUGUUUGGUUAUACAAGCGUUUCUGGAUGUCUUAUUGGUGUGCAACCACACCCGUUUGAGGUAUACUCCACCUCCCCCUGAAUACCACACCUUUGGAGUGGUGGUUCAAGACUUUUGCAUCUCCCUUUCUGUGCAGACAGGAAAUUGGGAAGAGCUGAUGUGGAUCUUCCUGUCAGGGUUGAUGGCCAAGGAUUCAUCUUCAGAUCCAACUCCCUGCUCAGUAGCCCUUUCUGAUACGCAUUUAAAAACAGGUCUGAGGCAUUCACACGUGCCAUUCUUAGGUAUGCGUUAAAGAUGCAAUUUGUUUCUUAAACUGGCUUUGCAUUACCACCCGCCUUGCUUGGUGUGAACUAAUGCUCAUCUGCCAGACAGACUGCUGUAAUUCCUGCAUCUGUGUUUUCCAGAUUUGAGGGCUGUAAUGCACUUUUUAUGGAGCUGCUGCUAAAGGCAGUUCAGGAACUUCACCUAAGUUAGAGCGUGGCAGGCUAAUGGAAACCAUUUAAUGGUCUCGUCCAUCAUCCAUUUGAGAAGUCUGCAUAAAUUGCUGAUUAGUUUCCCAGCUCAGUUCAAUACUGGAUCCUCCCUCUUAACUCUGUAAUUGCUACAGUUCAAAUGGUCCAUGGGAAAAAAAAUGCUUCUGCAAGAAAAUAAUUUCCCUUCCUACCCCAGCCUCCCUCUUCAGAUCCUACAAAGUGGCUUGAUUCACUUCUAGUAGAAAUAAAUAUUUUUUUCAUUGGAAAAUCAGAUUUAACAGAAAUUCAUGCAAACGCACAGCACGCUUAGUACACACACGAGCAAACCUGUAGAAGUGCCUGGCGGAACCCACCCCUGCUUUAUACCUACCUGUUAUUUCAUUAUUGGCAUAUCCAUUUUGGUUUUAAAAUAGUAAAACCAUCUGAAGUUUUAUAAACACUUUUAGGCAGCUAUUAUUAAAUAGAGAAAUAUAAACAAGA